AGUCGUGUGAUAAGUACAAAGCGAACUAUUCUUUCGCCUUUUACUAAAGAAUACCGUGUGCUUGUCACUUAUAGCGGCAUACGCUAAUUUUUGGGAAGAGCUGUCCUUUGAGGGCUCUGCAUUUAUAUAAUUUAAAUUUUUUCGCAAGAGUAUUCUCUUGUUCAUGUUUAUUAAAAUUUCUUUCCUGAAGUUUUUUUUUAUGUUAAGAGUUUAAUUUAUUUUGUUAUCUAUCUAGUAAUGGUAAAUAAGAAUUUUUCAAUUUAAUUUGAUAUUGUAGUUAAAAAGGCAAAAACUGCGUAUUAAAGUAUCUUUCAUAUUGUUUUAUAAUAUCGAAUGGUGUGAAAAUUAAU